rnacentral:rRNA from 1 species
GAUGAACGCUGGCGGCGUGCCUAAUACAUGCAAGUCGAGCGAACGGACGAGAGGCUUGCUUUUCUGAUGUUAGCGGCGGACGGGUGAGUAACACGUGGAUAACCUACCUAUAAGACUGGGAUAACUUCGGGAAACCGGAGCUAAUACCGGAUAAUAUUUUGAACCGCAUGGUUCAAAAGUGAAAGACGGUCUUGCUGUCACUUAUAGAUGGAUCCGCGCUGCAUUAGCUAGUUGGUAAGGUAACGGCUUACCAAGGCAACGAUGCAUAGCCGACCUGAGAGGGUGAUCGGCCACACCGGAACUGGGACACGGUCCAGACUCCUACGGGAGGCAGCAGUAGGGAAUCUUCCGCAAUGGGCGAAAGCCUGACGGAGCAAGGCCGCGUGAGUGAUGAAGGUCUUCGGAUCGUAAAACUCUGUUAUUAGGGAAGAACAUAUGUGUAAGUAACUGUGCACAUCUUGACGGUACCUAAUCAGAAAGCCACGGCUAACUACGUG